rnacentral:lncRNA from 1 species
GAGGUUCAGACUUCAGAGCAAAAGUUGUUUCCCCAAAUUGAAUUGCAUUUCUAAUUCCUUCUUCCCGCUGUCCCGCAUCUCUCUUUCAUCUUUCCUUCACACUUUCUCAAACAUACCCUAGCCACCGCCGCCCAGUGCACCAUAGCCAUCACCACCACCGCCACCCUUCAGCCUCAGCCACCGCCACCACAGCCACCACCGCCACGUUGUAAAGUUAAUCGCCUGCAAUUCGACUUCUUCUCCUCAGCCCAGCUGUAUUCGGACCCAUCGCCAUCAAAAUAACAUCGGCGGCUCUCAGGUAUCUUUCGACGUCUUCCAACCUCUCGCCCUCUGUUCUCGUUUUGCUCUCCGAGUUCCUUAGUGCAAAUGUUUAUAGACGUAACGGCAUUUGUGGUGUUUCAUUCUAGUUCAUUGUCAAUUUUAAGUUCGACCCAGAUGAGGAGACGAAGAAUGUAGGAAUUUGUGUAAUUUGAAGUUGGUAUCAUUUCAUUUUUGCCCAUUUUUUCCCUUCAAUUUUUGACACUGGCGCUACUCAUAUUUGUUCGGAUCUUGGACUAAAUUGGCAAGUCCACAAUUGUCCUUCUAGAGAAUCCAUGUGCCAUUAAUGUUUCACUUUAAUUCAGCAAGUGCUUGAUGGCAUGUUUGACGGGCUUCACGUUGAGGGGAGUUCCUUCUAUGUCUGUCUUCUUUUUCGAUGGAAUCUUGCUUACACAUAAAAUUCUAAACGUUGAGAAGCUCAGUUCACUUUGCUCCAACUACCACAGUAGUAGUAUCAAUUGGUCAAAGAACAGCUUUUUCGACCUUGUGGAGAAGCUGGGCAAUCCUUUCUCAAAUUAACGUCCAGAUUUAAGGUCCUGGAAAUGGUGCACUGCUUUAUUUAGUCUAUCAUGCCUUUCUUUCGUUCCUUCUGUUCUAUUGUCAGGUGGCCGGCAGGUGCAAUCUUAGUAAGGUCAUAUUAAGUGUAUGGAUGAAGGUAGCUGUCUAAACAAACAAGACAUUAAAUUGUUCUUAAUUGCGGUGGUUGUUGUAUUGCAUCUAUCAAAAGCUGUGGUAUAUUAAAGCAUACUGCCAGGACAAUUGAUUUGAUUACCACUAAAAAACAAAGGCAUUGAUUUGAUUACCACUAAAAAACAACAUAUCAUUGGCUUUUUUUUUCCAGGUGGGAACUUCUGUAGUUAAGUGCUUUUUUUUUGCAGUUAAGUGCUAUUUUUUUGGGGCUGUUUAAUCAGCUGUUUGGGCUGGUUUUUUGCACUUUUUUCUUGGCUGAUAUUUUUCUGCUUGGGAUGAUUUAAUAUAGAAAAUUUGAUAGAAUUAAAAACCACAAGCUCGUUAGUUCUAUGUGAUUUAUAGUAUUGAAUGUUUGAGAGUAAACCAUGGCUGUCUAAUCAUGUUUUGUUAUUUUCCUUUGUUCAUACUUCAUAAUAUGGCUGGUUUAGUUCCCUUUUUUCAGAUGAUUUUUAGUUGUUGUUGAAUUUAUUGUUUGGGCUGUUCAUUAGUUGAAUUCUGGGCAGGAUUUUUAGCGCUAUUGGUCUCUUUAUUCAUUUGGCUGCUGGUUUCUUUAUAUGUGUAUAUGAUCUAUUUGCUGGCUGGUUUCAUUGCAACUAAAAUGGAAGUUAUUUGGCUGGUUUAGUUCCCUUUUUUUAGAUGAUUUUUAGUUGUUGUUGAAUUUAUUGUUUGGGCUGUUCAUUAGUUGAAUUCUGGGCAGGAUUUUUAGCGCUAUUGGGCUCUUUAUUCAUUUGGCUGCUGGUUUCUUUAUAUGUGUAUAUGAUCUAUUUGGUGGCUGGUUUCAUUGAAACUAAAAUGGAAGUUAUUUGUCUGGUUUAGUUCCCUUUUUUCAGAUGAUUUUUAGUUGUUGUUGAAUUUAUUGUUUGGGCUGUUCAUUAGUUGAAUUCUGGCAGGAUUUUUAGCUGCCGUUUUUGUAGAUUGUCUAAAACUUUGUGACUCUUUGCGCUUCAGACUGGGCCCUCCACGUCCGGGCAUUGCCAUUGCCAAUUGCAAACUUAUCCACGUUCAAUAUGUUUCUAUUGCUGAUCAGAGGAAGAGAAGAAGUUCGUGACUUCAAUGAUUGUGCUUAGUUUGUAUUUGUAGUUCGAUAUGUUUCUGUAGUAAGAAGUUCUUGGCUUGCUUUUGGUUGUUAUUUACUUAUUUUCUGAUAUUGAACUUUGUGACUUAGAAUGUUGAGGCUUGUAUGAAGUGCUGGGCAUUUAAAUUCUAGACUUUUAUGUGGUAUGUAUUUCUAAAUUUAUGAUUGUAUUUAGUGAAAAAUUUGUAGGCCUUUAUUUAUUAUGAUCAUGUGAAAAAUUAUGGUCAAUUGUAGCCAUGAAUUGUAAGCUAUGAUUAUGCUCAUAAUUUG